ACAUGGAUGAAGCUGGAAGCCAUAAACUUCAGCCAAUUAACACAGGAACAGGAAACCAAACACCACAUGUUCUCAUAAGUGGGAACUGAACAAUGAGAACACAUGGACACGGAGGGGCAGAACACACACCGGAGCCUGUUGGGAAGGUAGGGGGAAGGAGAGCAUCAAGAUAAAUAGCUAAUGCAUGUGGGGCUUAAUACCUAGGUGAUAGGUUGAUAGGUGCAGCAAACCACCAUGGCACAUGUUUAACUAUGUAACAAACCUGCACAUCCUGUACAUGUAUCCUGGAACUUAAAAUAAAAUAGAAAAGACAAAGAAGGAUAUUACAUAAUGGCAAAGGCUUCAAUUCAACAAGAAGACCUAACUAUCCUAAAUAUAUAUUCAUCCAACACAGGAGCACCCAGAUUCAUAAGUAAAGUUCUUAGAGACCUACAAAGUAUGUUUCACAGUAAUAGUGGGAGACUUUCACACUCCAAUGACAGUAUUAGAUCAUUGAGGCAAAAAAAUGAACAAAGAUAUUCAGGACCUGAACUCAACAUUGGAUCAAAUGGAUCUGAUAGACCUUUACAGAACUCUGCACUCAAAAACAACAGAAUAUGCAUUCCUCACAUCAUCAUAUGCCACAUACUCUAAAAUCAACCACAUAAUUGGACAUAAAGCAAUCCUCAGCAAAUGCAAAACAACUGAACUCAUACCAAAUACACACUGAGAUCACAGUGCAGUAAAAAUAGAAGACUAAGAAAAUUGCUGAAAAUCAUGCAAUUACAUGGAAAUCAAUCAACAUGCUCCUGAAUGACUUUUUAAUAAAUAAUGAAAUUAAGGCAGAAAACAAGAAGUUCUUUGAAAAUAAUGAGAACAAAGUUGCAACAUACUAGAGCCUCUGGACAUAGCUAAGGCAAUGUUAGGAGGGAAAUUUAUAGCACUAAAUCCCACAUCAAAAAGUUAGGAAGAACUCAAAUUAAUAACCUAACAUCACAACGGAAAGAACUAGAGAAGCAAGACAAAACCCCAAAGCUAGAGGAAGACAAGAAAUAACUGAAAAUCCGAGCUGAAUUCAAAGAAACCGAGACAUGAAGAAAAAAAAAUUCAAAAGAUCUACGAAUUCAGGGUGAUGGCAUCAGCUGAGAAGGGAAGGAAGCCCAUGUGAGGACACUGAAGAAGGAGUGAGCAGACAAUAAGAAGCCCACAGAAGACAGAGAAGGAACAACUAGAGGGAGAAGCCAAGGCAGUUUCUCCACAGACACUACCCAAAGCAGUCCUUCACUACAGUGGCAGACAGACCUGAAAAUUUUCAUCUGAAGCAGCAGAGUGAACUGCAGAGUCAGAGAUAGAAUCUCACUAUGUUGACCAGGCUGGUCUUGAACUCUUGGCACCCAAGCGAUCCUUUUGCCUGGAAUCCCAAAGUGUCAGAUUUACUGAAGAAUAUUUCAUUGUAAUUACUUUUUAUACUUUAUAGGUCAAGAGCUCUGUUUUAAAGACAAAAUUUAUUGAAUAUACUUUUUCAAACAAAGUUUCAUGUUCUAAUCAUUGUCUGAUUUCAGCAUUAAAUGAAACACAGUAAAGAAAG
rnacentral:lncRNA from 1 species